rnacentral:rRNA from 1 species
AUGGGCAACCUACCCCGGGGACGGGGAUAGCUCUUCUAACGAGGAGGUAAUACCUGGCGAUUCGGCGAGGAGGCAUCUCUUUGCCGGGAAACGAGUUUCGCCUCGGGAGGGGCUCAUGUAGUAUUAGCUAGUUGGUGAGGUAACGGCUCACCAAGGCAAAGAUGCUUAGCGGGUGUGAGAGCACGACCCGCGCCACUGGCACUGAGACACUGGCCAGACUCCUACGGGAGGCUGCAGUCGAGGAUCUUCGGCAAUGGGCGCAAGCCUGACCGAGCGACGCCGCGUGUGCGAAGAAGGCCUUCGGGUUGUAAAGCACUGUCGAGGGGAAGAAAGACUCGCAAGAGUUUGAUCGACCCCUGGAGGAAGCACGGGCUAAGUUCGUGCCAGCAGCCGCGGUAAGACGAACCGUGCGAACGUUGUUCGGAAUCACUGGGUUUAAAGGGCGCGUAGGCGGGCUGUCAAGUCGGUGGUGAAAUCUUUCGGCUCAACCGGAAAAUCGCCUUCGAUACUGGCGGCCUU